GCCUGGGUGGCUCAGUCAGUGAAGCAUCUGACUUCGGCUCAGAUCAUGACCUCAUGGUUUGUGAGUUCAAGCCUCACAUAGGGCU
rnacentral:tRNA from 1 species